GACAGAGAAUGGACGCGUUCCGAUCUGCCCAGUCCCCAGCGGGCAGGAGUGAUGUCCCCAAGCCGCCUUCACCUCUGGCGCCCUGUCCCCAGGGCCCCUGUGUGUCCGGGAGCAGGGACGGGCGCUCUGGCGGGCACGGCGGAGGUGAGGAGGUGCCGCAGCGGGGCUCAGGGCCGGUCUGGUGCAGUGCCACAUCACCGCAGGCAGCUGUCUGAGGAAACCCCUCACAGAACCGCGUCAUCCAAGGCUACGGAUCACAAAGCAAACUGUUCAGUCCCAAAAAACUCACAUAAAUGAUGGAGGGAGACCAGGAAUUGACCAUGUUUCUGUUGUGCCCUUAUGACUUGCCUCAUUCAGAGAGGUAUAGUAUGCCAAAAGCUGCCUCACUGCGUCUUCUGAUGUAGCCGUGAGAAAGUUUUGUUUAAGGUUGUUGCUCAUCCUUUCCAGGACAUUCAUGGUGAAGGUUUUUUUCAGUUUGUAAAAUUUCUUUAUGAAAGAGGUCUUCUGUCUGUUAUUGAAGCUUGGUUGCUUUUUAUCAGGGAGAUGUGAUCUGGAAAGUUUACAGCCUUAUAGGCUAUCUUCUUUUUAUACCUCAUGAUAUAUAGUUUGCCCUUUUUUUGUACUAGCAUAGCGUUGCCAAUACACACAUUUCUUGUGGUCCACUUCAGCACCUUGAUUCUUCUCUUCUGAACUGCUGUCUCGCCAUUUGUUCCCUGCCUCAUUGUAUUUCAGGGAUGUCUCAUACUUCCCUCUGCCAAGUAACAUCCUGUUCCUUAGUCAGGAGUUCCAUGAUCUUACGAUGAUCUUGCUUUUCAGUCAAGCAAAUAAUUUCUAGUCAAAGGAUAGUUUUGCUCUUCAAGACUGUAUUCUGAAUAGUUGCAUCUAUUUCUUCCACACAGUUCUUAUGCAUGUUUUGUGAGUCAUAUAAACUGAACUUUUCACAGACGGUCACUCACUUUUCAUUGCCUGCCUGUGGUCUGGAGACACCACAGCUGGACGUUUGCUGUUGUUUCAGAAUUCAGACCUGACAUAAAAGGUCAUCUAACUGCUGAGUUUUACUGAAAAUGCAAAUCACAGAUGUCUACGGUUAGAUGCCAAAAUUUUAGCUUUUCUUUUUUUCUUACGUUCGUUAACAAGUCUCUGCAGUAUGCUAAUGAGUUCUUUCUUCUAAUGUUUCUAGACAUCAUAGUUAGUAAAGCUUGAAAUCUAUCAAUUGCAUGUUUAAAGUAGAUUUUUAAUUAUAUACAAUAAAUAAAAUGUGGGGUAGGAAAUCUUUGCACAUACUAUAUUAAUGAUAACUUAUUUUUGUGCUUUGAGCACUCUCAUCUGUGUUUGAAAAUAUUUAUUCUUUUAGGUCUGUAGUGGAGAUACCUUUUAAAAUCUAUUCGUAUAUUUAAUAUCUUCUGAGUCAUUUCAACCCUGAUGUGGCAGGGGUUGAAAAAUUCUCUAUUGCCUCUAUGUUUGGGUAGCAGCAACAGUCUCUGAUUAUGCUUUUACUGAUCCACAUGAUCUGUAAGUUCCAGAAUGAACAAUGUAUUAGCUUAUCUUGUGAAUGCUUCCUUAUGAACAUAUGAAUUCACUGCUAUUUAGAAAUAAUGCUCAAGAUACUAAUUAGAACCAAAAAGACCCUAAAGAGUUAUUGAAUAAUGUCUGUAAUGAAUUUCAUGCCUCGUCCGAAAGUGUUUCAAAAAGCAAGUUAUCAAGUUCCUGAUACUUGAGCAGGAAAAACUGAAAAACAAAGAGAAGAACGAAGGUAAAUCCACAAAAUAGCCUGCAAGUUCAAUGUGUCAAGUGUCACAGAACCUAGAGAAUUUAAAAUCCCAGGUCAGGUAACAAACUUCUCUAUAUACACCAGCUUAUAUCAAUGUAGUUUGGAACGACCUAGAAGGCAUCCAAUCCAACCUGGUGCUCUCUGUGUCUGUGAGAACAGCUCUGAGUUUCACCUCACUUUCCUGGGUGUUUUGUUGGCUGUGUACCUAUAUCCAAAGCCCACCUCUGGCACAACGCACCUGCUGGACCUUGAUCCAGACUGCUAUGAAAGUCUGCCAUCUGUAGAGGUUUUGAGAGUGGACAUGAGAUUGUUGAUGUUCAAAGAUUUCACAGCAGAAGUACCAGCAUGAGAAGGUGUAAAAUCAUAAAGAUAACCUGGGGAAGCCUGGUCAAGCUAGACAGUCAGUUGGGGGCUAGCUGUGAGCCCUUGUAUUUUAAGUGUCAAAGGAAGACUGCAAAUUAGAAAUGCUGGGAUUCCUCUCCAGAGAGCCAUGGGAACUGACCCUUACCCUUUUGGCUCAUGCCUGCCUGCUCAGCAAAGACUUCUUGAGUAGCUUAAUAUGAGUGAGUCUCUGUGCCUGGCUAAAAUACUUAAACAAGCUGACCAAGUGUGACAAACAUAGUCAACUCCUUAAUCAAACUAAGGGUAGCUAUUACAGGCUCCAAAGAAGGUAAAGACCUCAGGCAUUACCAAGGCAAGAACUUCUCUAGUUCCAGUCCAUUCUAUAAAAAUAAAAAAGAGGUGAGCAUUGACGCAUAUGAGCUUGGCUCACUGAUCAUAUAAAUAACACAGGAAUAGCAGGUAGCUUUUCUAGGACUCAUUUAUCAGAGAACAAAGAAAGUUGUGGGUGCAAGGAAUCUCAAGCAUAUGCUUCCCAUUGUAUGUAAUUUGACUACAAGGAAACCACUUUAUUCCAGAAAUAUCUCAGCCUAAAUGAGCAUUUUUCAAGCUCUCUGUGCUAAGCUGCUGUUUGCUUGGGAUCCCGCCUUGAUCAGGGAAACCUCUUUUGAGUUUGCCCUUCAAAGCAGAGAGACAUCCCACCAAAAGCAGAUGCUCAGUAACUGACAGAUACCAUGCAUAGUCUGGUAUUAUAAUGCAUGAAGUUUUUUGCAUUGGUAGCUUUGACUCAUUGUUAUAUCCUUUUUGAAAUAAUACAGCAAACCUUGCCAUUGAAUGUUGCUAUAAAAGUUGCACUUUUACAACAUAUCUCAAUAAACUCACUUUUGCUGA